rfam:Gasterosteus aculeatus cont1.006322, whole genome shotgun sequence.
UAAAGCACCUAUUGUAAGUCGCUUUGGAUAAAAGCGUCAGCUAAAUGACAUGUA